rnacentral:tRNA from 1 species
GAAAGCUAAGUUUUAUAAUAUUUGUUUGUCAAACAAAAGAGGGUCUUUUAGAUCAGUUUUUA